rnacentral:rRNA from 1 species
GUCGGAAUUUUGGGCGUAAGGGCUCGCAGGCGGUUUCUUAAGUCUGAUGUGAAAGCCCCCGGCUCAACCGGGGAGGGUCAUUGGAAACUGGGGAACUUGAGUGCAGAAGAGGAGAGUGGAAUUCCACGUGUAGCGGUGAAAUGCGUAGAGAUGUGGAGGAACACCAGUGGCGAAGGCGACUCUCUGGUCUGUAACUGACGCUGAGGAGCGAAAGCGUGGGGAGCGAACAGGAUUAGAUACCCUGGUAGUCCACGCCGUAAACGAUGAGUGCUAAGUGUUAGGGGGUUUCCGCCCCUUAGUGCUGCAGCUAACGCAUUAAGCACUCCGCCUGGGGAGUACGGUCGCAAGACUGAAACUCAAAGGAAUUGACGGGGGCCCGCACAAGCGGUGGAGCAUGUGGUUUAAUUCGAAGCAACGCGAAGAACCUUACCAGGUCUUGACAUCCUCUGACAAUCCUAGAGAUAGGACGUCCCCUUCGGGGGCAGAGUGACAGGUGGUGCAUGGUUGUCGUCAGCUCGUGUCGUGAGAUGUUGGGUUAAGUCCCGCAACGAGCGCAACCCUUGAUCUUAGUUGCCAGCAUUCAGUUGGGCACUCUAAGGUGACUGCCGGUGACAAACCGGAGGAAGGUGGGGAUGACGUCAAAUCAUCAUGCCCCUUAUGACCUGGGCUACACACGUGCUACAAUGGACAGAACAAAGGGCAGCGAAACCGCGAGGUUAAGCCAAU